GAAGAGAUGGUUUUAUGUUGGGAAUCAUGAUCCUGUCUUGCUAGUGGUCACCGGUCAUGCUCCCAAACAUGCGGAUAAUUGGGUGAGCGAACCCGAGGACACCCCUGAGAUUACUAACUUGUUGACUCAAAUUGCUGAGUUGAAAUUAUUGGGUUUGACUGGCAUCAAUGUGGCUGCCAGUUUUCUCAAGCGAAAGGUUCAGCCUUUGCAACAACGAGCUCGCUCAGGCUCGGAGUACUCGGGUUUUG
rnacentral:lncRNA from 1 species